CAAUAGUGGAUCACAAUGACCUGGCAACACCUAGCAAACCAAUUCAGGUGGAUGCCACCCAUUAGGUAACAGGACAAAUGUGAAUAUGUCUAUCUUGCCAAAAUAGAUGCCAACCUUGAACAGGGAGCAAAAACUCUUCUCUGGAUGCCAUGUGUGUCACAGCCCUGGGCACGUCCUGCCCCUUUUCUCACUGCUCGUCUGCCCAGAGUCGUCCUCAUCUCCUAGAUCUCUUAGAUCUUCGCACAGAUGCCACUCCCCAACAGCUUUCUUGACUCUCUCUGCUGGGACGGAGGUCUUCCUCCUCCUGGAUGUGCACAGCAAUGGAGGAAAAUCCCUGCUCAAGAAACAUAAUAUUUCCAACACCCUUGAGAACUACACACAUUUUGCAUGGAACAUGAUAAGGCAACUACCAAGACGGAAAACUUCCUGCUGACAGGGUC